rnacentral:rRNA from 1 species
AUUGAACGCUGGCGGCAGGCCUAACACAUGCAAGUCGAACGAGUGGCGGACGGGUGAGUAAUGUCUGGGAAACUGCAUGAUGGAGGGGGAUAACUAAUGGAAACGGUAGCUAAUAUCGCAUACCAUCGGAAGUGCCCAGAUGGGAUUAGCUAGCAGGUGGGGCAAAGGCUCACCUAGGCGACGAUCCCUAGCUGGUCUGAGAGGAUGACCAGCCACACUGGAACUGAGACACGGUCCAGACACCUACGGGAGGCAGCAGUGGGGAAUAUGGCACAAUGGGCGCAAGCCUGAUACAGCCAUGCCGCGUGUAUGAAGAAGGCCUUCGGGUUGUAAAGUACUUUCAGCCGGGAGGCGUUACCCGCAGAAGAAGCACCGGCUAACGCCGUGCCAGCAGCCGCGGUAAUAC